rnacentral:lncRNA from 10 species
GCAGACUCCGUCAAGAGCCAGGGCACUCAAUGCACAGUUAGUAUUCACACAAGACAUGGGACAGUGUGCCCAAACAGCCACAGUUUAGAAGGGGGCAUGAGCAGACUGAGUGGGCCAGGGAAGCUUUCUGCAGGAGGUGGGGCAGACCAGAAUGCAAAGCCUUUCCAGGAGGAGAGGACACCCAGCCAAGCACGUAGGAGUGGAAGUGACCUGGCAUGGGCCAGAGUGGUGAAGAGCCUGGCCUGAUUGGAACAGAGGCUGUGAGGGGGUCAGGUCCCAUGCAGCCCUGGAGGUUUUGAGCUGGAGAGACACUUGAUGGCUGUGGCAUUUGGGAACAUCCUUCUAUGCUGGGAGAGGAUGGAGGAAGGGAGCCCAGUGAGAAGAUCUGGCAGCCUCCCAGGGUCUCACUCUGUCACCCAGACUGGAGUGCAGUGGCGCGAUCUCGACUCACCACAACCUCCACCUCCUGGGCUCCAGCGAUUCUCCUGCCUCAGCCUCUGAGUAGCUGGGAUUACAGACUGAAGUCAUGACCUACCUGCCUUGGGCCAGAGUUCCUUCCAGGUUCUUUCACCCAUUUUCCAGCCACGCCUCUGAGGCUGCAUUGUCAUUUAUGAUGACCUUCAUAAAGUUAAGGCCUUCUAUACUUCCUAAUUACCUGCUUAUCUCUACUCUCUGUUUUCACCUAUUUUUCGAAG